AGAAAAGGGGAAAGGAAAUAAUGAAGAAACGGCCAUUGCUCUGCCAUUUUUCUAUCAGCUUUAGCUGAAAAAAACUGCUUUGAUGUGCUUCAUUACAAGUUAUGUACUUAACAAUAUAAAGGAUAAAGCAUUUUGCUGAAUUGGGAGAGAGAUUUCAACAUUUUCUGAAGGAAAUUCACACCUAAAAUGGAGAAAAGGUUUACAGUGAAGGACUCUGAGGUAUAAAGAAUUAAGAAGAUCAGAGAGGUUCCUGGGAAAUUAUGUAUUCAAAGCCAGAAGACCAAGUUUCUACGUCCUAGUCAUCCUGUGACCCUCCUCCUGUCUGGCUUCUCAUUUGAGGGACCUAUCACAGCUAUCUGACACAACCAUGGUGAUAAACAUAAUCAGCACAGGCACUCCCAUUUUUAGACUUUCAAGGAAAAUAGACUUUGACAUACAUAAAUCUGACUUGAUCUUUAAAACCCUACCAAUAAAAUAGCCCUCUAAUCACACCAUAAGUUUACCAUCAAGAUUUUCACCAAGCUAAAGUGACACACGUAUGGAACUAUCACGAAGAGAGAGUAAAUAUAGUGAGUGACCUCUGAGAAACAACAGGUACAAACACUAGGUUUUGUUCCAGAUGCUCGAGCAAGCUGAGGUCUACCCACUAUUUAAGUGGGAUAGGUAUUUCCCUCAAUUAGUUAUGGAGUCAUACACAACAUCUCUAAAUGGUUCAGAACUCAACUUCUUGCCAGAAAGUGAAAGUAGAACUGUACAGAGUUUCUACUUUAAAGAUGUGGGUAUGCAACUUUUGAAAGCAAAUUGCAAGGUAAAGGACCCACACUAGAUUAGGUCAUUUGAAAAACACUGUUUUAUAGUAUCUUCAAAUGGCGUAUCUGUGCAGUCAUGUUCCCUGCUGAAAUGUGCUCUCUUAUUUUCUCUCUCUCUGAAACAUUGGUAAUACUGGAAUUCUACUAAAGUAAGUAGUUUAGUGGUUUGGGAACUAAUAUCACUGAAGUAAAAAAAAAUUAUAUUUGGAAAUAUUGAAUAACCUUUUUAUCUCUCUUUAAUAAAGAAUGAAACAGACCAAUUUAUAAAGGGAAGUCUAUGAUCUAUGAUCGAUAUCUCUUUGAUAUUUAAGUAGAUUUUUUAUUGGUUUUUGUUUAUAAAACAGUAUCCACUCUUUGCAGGCCUUUCCUAACAGCCUAAUUGUCUUGUCAGUUUGAUUUUAUAUUUUUUAAAAAUUAAAGCUGCUGUAUUAACUUUCUUUACUCAGUUUUGGUUGUCUGCUGAAAGAGGUAACUGAUACGUUCAUGCCCAUAUCCCAUGCGAAUAACUAGAAAGAAUGUCCAUAAAGCUUUGGAGGUGGUUUUAUCAGAGGAAGAUGCUUGCAUCAGAAGCAGUUAUAUGGAAUGUAUGAUGCUUACAUACAUGUGCGUAUUAUUUACAAGGAUUUUAAUCUUUCACCAAUGAGCAGGUGAUGGGUAUGAGUAAUGUUUCUAAAUCCCUAUGUACCACAAUGAGAACAUGAAUUAUCUUUUUAUUAUAGUGUCCCAGAAAGCAAAGGACUUCUUAGAUCAUCUGUUACAUCCCUCACAAAAUUAGGAUUCAUUCCAAGAGGAUGUCUUCCAGGCCUUCUUUAAAGUUCAGGUUUCUUUGGUAAUGAGCAUUUCUCCAUUUUCCAUAAUGUCACUGACUCUGCUUAAGUAGCAUUUCUAAAAAUCAUGUCUAUUUUUAUUUGAUCAUUUCCAUCUUAUUGGUUCUAGGUAUCCACAAGUGGAACCCAUACCCAUUAAUUCCUUUAAGAACUAAAACUACAUUUUUAAUUAGAAAACUGUAAACACAAUUAAGAUAAUAUAACUAAUUCAAACCAAUU